CUGGGGUGUCAAAGUUGAGGUAGGUGCGAGAAAUGACGAGAAUCAUCCAAAUCGCGCUCAUUGCCUCCAAUCUGCCUCGACUGGGACGCUCGUCG
rnacentral:pre_miRNA from 16 species